rnacentral:rRNA from 1 species
GAUGAACGCUGGCGGCGUGCCUAACACAUGCAAGUCGAACGAAGAGGCCCCUUCGGGGGUACUUCAGUGGCGGACGGGUGAGUAACACGUAGGCGACCUGCCCCGAAGCAGGGGAUAACGGCUCGAAAGGGCCGCUAAUACCCAAAAGGGUCGCGUAUCAAAGCGCGAUCAGAGUUACGGCGUUUCGGGAGGGGCCUGCGGCCCAUCAGCUAGUUGGUAGGGUAAAAGCCUACCAAGGCGACGACGGGUAGGGGACCUGAGAGGGGUGACCCCCCACACUGGCACUGAAACACGGGCCAGACACCUACGGGAGGCUG